rnacentral:rRNA from 1 species
GACGAACGCUGGCGGCGUGCUUAACACAUGCAAGUCGAACGGAAAGGCCCUGCUUUUGUGGGGUGCUCGAGUGCCGCACGGGUGAGUAACACGUGAGUAUCCUGCCCUUGUCUUUGGGAUAUCUUCACGAAACUGCGGCUAAUACCGCAUAUGAUCUCCUGCUGCGUGUUGUUGAUUGGAGAGUUUCGGCGGUUGUGGAUGGACUCGCGGCUUACCAGCUUGUUGGUCGGGUAGGGGCUUACGAAGUCUUAGACGGGUAGCCGGCCUGAGAGGGUGACCGGGCACAUUGGGACUGAGAGACGGAGCAGACGCCUACGGGAGGCAGUAGUGGGGAAUAUUGCAGAAUGGGCGGAAGCGUGAUGCAGCAACGCCGGGUGCGGGAUGACGGCCUUCGGGGUGUAAACAGAUGUGGACUGUGACAAAGAGGGAGUGACGGUAAUGGGUAAAGAAGCACCGGCUAACUACGUG